rnacentral:rRNA from 1 species
UACAGAGGGUGCAAGCGUUAAUCGGAAUUACUGGGCGUAAAGCGCGCGUAGGUGGCUAUGUAAGUUGAAUGUGAAAUCCCCGGGCUCAACCUGGGAACUGCAUCCAAAACUGCAUGGCUAGAGUACGGUAGAGGGUGGUGGAAUUUCCUGUGUAGCGGUGAAAUGCGUAGAUAUAGGAAGGAACACCAGUGGCGAAGGCGACCACCUGGACUGAUACUGACACUGAGGUGCGAAAGCGUGGGGAGCAAACAGG